rnacentral:rRNA from 1 species
GUCGAGCGCGUCUGAUUUGAUGCUUGCAUUAAUGAAAGAUGAGCGGCGGACGGGUGAGUAACGCGUGGGUAACCUGCCCUAUACACAUGGAUAACAUACUGAAAAGUUUACUAAUACAUGAUAAUAUAUAUUUACGGCAUCGUAGAUAUAUCAAAGUGUUAGCGGUAUAGGAUGGACCCGCGUCUGAUUAGCUAGUUGGUGAGAUAACUGCCCACCAAGGCGACGAUCAGUAGCCGACCUGAGAGGGUGAUCGGCCACAUUGGAACUGAGACACGGUCCAAACUCCUACGGGAGGCAGCAGUGGGGAAUAUUGCACAAUGGGCGCAAGCCUGAUGCAGCAACGCCGCGUGAACGAUGAAGGUCUUCGGAUCGUAAAGUUCUGUUGCAGGGGAAGAUAAUGACGGUACCCUGUGAGGAAGCCCCGGCUAACUACGUGCCAGCAGCCGCGGUAAUACGUAGGGGGCUAGCGUUAUCCGGAUUUACUGGGCGUAAAGGGUGCGUAGGUGGUCUUUCAAGUCGGUGGUUAAAGGCUACGGCUCAACCGUAGUUAGCCUCCGAAACUGGAAGACUUGAGUGCAGGAGAGGAAAGUGGAAUUCCCAGUGUAGCGGUGAAAUGCGUAGAUAUUGGGAGGAACACCAGUAGCGAAGGCGGCUUUCUGGACUGCAACUGACACUGAGGCACGAAAGCGUGGGUAGCAAACAGGAUUAGAUACCCUGGUAGUCCACGCUGUAAACGAUGAGUACUAGGUGUCGGGGGUUACCCC